AUUGAACGCUGGCGGUAGGCCUAACACAUGCAAGUCGAACGAGCGGCGGACGGGUGAGUAAUGUCUGGGGAACUGCCCGAUGGAGGGGGAUAACUACUGGAAACGGUAGCUAAUACCGCAUACUAUCGGAUGUGCCCAGAUGGGAUUAGCUAGUAGGUGGGGUAAUGGCUCACCUAGGCGACGAUCCCUAGCUGGUCUGAGAGGAUGACCAGCCACACUGGGACUGAGACACGGUCCAGACUCCUACGGGAGGCAGCAGUGGGGAAUAUUGCACAAUGGGCGCAAGCCUGAUGCAGCCAUGCCGCGUGUAUGAAGAAGGCCUUAGGGUUGUAAAGUACUUUCAGCGGGGAGGCGUUACUGACAGAAGAAGCACCGGCUAACUCCGUGCCAGCAGCCGCGGUAAUAC
rnacentral:rRNA from 1 species